UACGGAGGGUGCAAGCGUUAUCCGGAAUCACUGGGUUUAAAGGGUGCGUAGGCUGUGGAGUAAGUCAGUUGUGAAAUACCCCGGCUCAACCGGCGGGACUGCGAUUGAUACUGCUUUACUUGAAUCGAGUUGAGGUCAGCGGAAUGUGGCAUGUAGCGGUGAAAUGCAUAGAUAUGCCAUAGAACACCGAUUGCGAAGGCAGCUGGCUGGGCUUUGAUUGACGCUGAGGCACGAAAGCGUGGGGAGCAAACAGG
rnacentral:rRNA from 1 species